GUGCUUAAUUUGGGGGGUUUUAAUUGAAUCUUAAUGUUUAGGGUUUGGGUUUUUUUUUCAAGAAAUUAUAGUUUUUCUUUGCUUGCAUAUAAUUUAAUCGUGUUUGUUUAUGCUUGUUAUGUUUAAUUGUUGAUUGUUAAAAAAAAAAUUGGGUUUAAUCGUCCAUUUUUUUGGAAUUUUGUUUCACUAUUGAGGUAAUUGGACGACAAAUUGAAUGUCUCUUUGGAAAUUAAGUAAUCGAUGCAGGAUUUAUAUAAAAUGUUGAUUAAUUGCUUUGAUAGUCUUGUUAUUCAAGCAUAACAAUUCGAAAUCUAACCCCUUUUUUCUCUAUUGUUUCUUGCUCAAGUGUUGACUUAAUUAAGAUUAUCUUUGUCUAGGUUUAUCAUUCCAUUUGAAUGAUGAAUUGGGUGUAAUUUUUUUUUAAAGGGAAUUGGGUGUAUUUUAAAUGUUGAUUAAUUGGCUAUGGUAGAUUAUUGUUGUUGCUGAGUUUGUAUUGUUCCAUUUGAAUGAUAAAUUGGGUGUAUUUUAAAUGUUGAUUAAUUGGCUAUUGGUAGAUUAUUGUUGUUGUUGAGUUUGUAUCACUGAUGCCUGUAAUGUUUUAUCUUCCAAUCCCUUGUUUUUUCUUCAGAAAGAUCGGCUCGUUGUCUAGGAUUACGAUAAUGUAUACAAGAAAAGAGUUUAUACAAAUAUUCACUCUUGCUUGCUCAACACUAUGAGGUUAAUCUUAAUGUAUUAGCUGCCUUAGUGUAGACACUUCCUCUGGUACAGUGGCCUUCGAUAAUAUGAGGUCCAAGAAGUUGGCAGAUGUUGUAUGUCUUAGAUAUUAACUUAGAGAAGAAACAAGGAGAGAUAAUUAUUAGAGGUCAUAAAACGUUUGUGCUCAAUCUACAAUUAGGAACCAGCUCUUUCACCAAGACCCUUGUGCUCAUUCAUUUGAAAAUGUUGACGAAAUUAGAGAUCUGUGGGGCUAAAUUCUCUUAUACAUGUAAAUUAUUGUUCGUAUAUACUUGUAAAUAUAACUACUAGUAAAUUCAAUAAUUAUAUAAGUUUAUGUAAAUUUAUCUAA